UCCUACGGGAGGCAGCAGUGGGGAAUAUUGCGCAAUGGGCGAAAGCCUGACGCAGCAACGCCGCGUGGGGGAUGAAGGCCUUCGGGUUGUAAACCCCUUUCAGCAGGGACGAAAAUGACGGUACCUGCAGAAGAAGCCCCGGCCAACUACGUGCCAGCAGCCGCGGUAACACGUAGGGGGCAAGCGUUGUCCGGAUUUAUUGGGCGUAAAGAGCUCGUAGGCGGUUGCGUAAGUCGGAUGUGNAAACUCAGGGCUCAACCCGGAGACGCCAUCCGAUACUGCGCUGACUAGAGUCCGGUAGAGGAGCAUGGAAUUCCUGGUGUAGCGGUGAAAUGCGCAGAUAUCAGGAGGGACACCAGUGGCGAAGGCGGUGCUCUGGGCCGGUACUGACGCUGAGGAGCGAAAGCGUGGGUAGCGAACAGGAUUAGAUACCCUGGUAGUCCACGCCGUAAACGUUGGGCACUAGGUGUGGGGCCUCCUUAACGGGUUCCGUGCCGUAGCUAACGCAUUAAGUGCCCCGCCUGGGGAGUACGGCCGCAAGGCUAACACUCAAAGGAAUUGACGGGGA
rnacentral:rRNA from 1 species